rfam:Schistosoma mattheei strain Denwood, Zambia genome assembly, scaffold: SMTD_scaffold0024481
GCAUUGCUGAAGAGUCCCACAAUAGGACGAAACGACCGUUCAAUGC